CGGGGUAUGUACACAGAAUUAGUGGUAAUAGGUAAAAUUUCUUGAAACGACUUGGAACUAAAAAUGAAUUGCGUGGCGUGCAAGUGGCCGGAGGUUCGAAUCCUUUCGCCCCAG
rnacentral:tRNA from 1 species